GACGAACGCUGGCGGCGUGCCUAAUACAUGCAAGUAGAACGCUGAAGGAGGAGCUUGCUUCUCUGGAUGAGUUGCGAACGGGUGAAUAACGCGUAGGUAACCUGCCUGGUAGUGGGGGAUAACUAUUGGAAACGAUAGCUAAUACCGCAUAAUAGCAGUUGUUGCAUGAUAACUGUUUGAAAGGUGCAAUUGCACCGCUACCAGAUGGACCUGCGUUGUAUUAGCUAGUUGGUGGGGUAACGGCUCACCAAGGCGACGAUACAUAGCCGACCUGAGAGGGUGAUCGGCCACACUGGGACUGAGACACGGCCCAGACUCCUACGGGAGGCAGCAGUAGGGAAUCUUCGGCAAUGGACGGAAGUCUGACCGAGCAACGCCGCGUGAGUGAAGAAGGUUUUCGGAUCGUAAAGCUCUGUUGUAAGAGAAGAACGAGUGUGAGAGUGGAAAGUUCACACUGUGACGGUAUCUUACCAGAAAGGGACGGCUAACUACGUG
rnacentral:rRNA from 1 species